CCCUUAGAUGUCCUGAGCCGCACGCGCGUUACACUGAUGCAUUCAACGAGCUUAUAACCUUGGCCGAGAGGCCUGGGCAAUCUUAUUAACGUGCAUCGUGAUAGGGAUAGAUUAUUGAAAUUAUUAAUCUUGAACGAGGAAUUCCUAGUAAACGCAGAUCAUCAAUCUGCAUUGAUUACGUCCCUGCCCUUUGUACACACCGCCCGUCGCACCUACCGAUUGGAUGGUCCGGUGAAGCCUCGGGAUUGUGGUUCUUGCCGCUUUAUUGUGGCGUGACCGCGAGAACUUGUCUAAACCUUAUCAUCUAGAGGAAGGUGAAGUCGUAACA
rnacentral:rRNA from 1 species